GAUGAACGCUGGCGGCGUGCCUAAUACAUGCAAGUCGAGCGAACGGACGAGAAGCUUGCUUCUCUGAUGUUAGCGGCGGACGGGUGAGUAACACGUGGAUAACCUACCUAUAAGACUGGGAUAACUCCGGGAAACCGGAGCUAAUACCGGAUAAUAUUUUGAACCGCAUGGUUCAAAAGUGAAAGACGGUCUUGCUGUCACUUAUAGAUGGAUCCGCGCUGCAUUAGCUAGUUGGUAAGGUAACGGCUUACCAAGGCAACGAUGCAUAGCCGACCUGAGAGGGUGAUCGGCCACACUGGAACUGAGACACGGUCCAGACUCCUACGGGAGGCAGCAGUAGGGAAUCUUCCGCAAUGGGCGAAAGCCUGACGGAGCAACGCCGCGUGAGUGAUGAAGGUCUUCGGAUCGUAAAACUCUGUUAUUAGGGAAGAACAUAUGUGUAAGUAACUGUGCACAUCUUGACGGUACCUAAUCAGAAAGCCACGGCUAACUACGU
rnacentral:rRNA from 1 species